ACCAGACUCCUACGGGAGGCAGCAGUGGGGAAUAUUGCACAAUGGGGGGAACCCUGAUGCAGCGACGCCGCGUGGGUGAAGGAGUAUUUCGGUAUGUAAAGCCCUAUCAGCGGGGAAGAAAAUGACGGUACCUGAGUAAGAAGCCCCGGCUAACUACGUGCCAGCAGCCGCGGUAAUACGUAGGGGGCAAGCGUUAUCCGGAUUUACUGGGUGUAAAGGGAGCGUAGACGGCCAGACAAGUCUGAAGUGAAAAUCCAGCGCUUAACGUUGGAAGUGCUUUGGAAACUGCCGGGCUAGAGUGCAGGAGGGGCAGGCGGAAUUCCUAGUGUAGCGGUGAAAUGCGUAGAUAUUAGGAGGAACACCAGUGGCGAAGGCGGCCUGCUGGACUGCAACUGACGUUGAGGCUCGAAGGCGUGGGGAGCAAACAGGAUUAGAUACCCUGGUAC
rnacentral:rRNA from 1 species